rnacentral:tRNA from 1 species
AAGGGUAUAGCUCAAGUGAUAGAGCAUGUGCUUAACAUGCAUGAGGUCCUGGGUUCUAUCCCCAGUGCCUCCA